UGGCGGACGGGGGAGUAAUGUCUGGGAAACUGCCCGAUGGAGGGGGAUAACUACUGGAAACGGUAGCUAAUACCGCAUAACGUCGCAAGACCAAAGAGGGGGACCUUCGGGCCUCUUGCCAUCGGAUGUGCCCAGAUGGGAUUAGCUAGUAGGUGGGGUAACGGCUCACCUAGGCGACGAUCCCUAGCUGGUCUGAGAGGAUGACCAGCCACACUGGAACUGAGACACGGUCCAG
rnacentral:rRNA from 1 species